AACGCGAAGAACCUUACCUGGUCUUGACAUCCACGGAAGUUUUCAGAGAUGAGAAUGUGCCUUCGGGAACCGUGAGACAGGUGCUGCAUGGCUGUCGUCAGCUCGUGUUGUGAAAUGUUGGGUUAAGUCCCGCAACGAGCGCAACCCUUAUCCUUUGUUGCCAGCGGUCCGGCCGGGAACUCAAAGGAGACUGCCAGUGAUAAACUGGAGGAAGGUGGGGAUGACGUCAAGUCAUCAUGGCCCUUACGACCAGGGCUACACACGUGCUACAAUGGCGCAUACAAAGAGAAGCGACCUCGCGAGAGCAAGCGGACCUCAUAAAGUGCGUCGUAGUCCGGAUUGGAGUCUGCAACUCGACCCCAUGAAGUCGGAAUCGCUAGUAAUCGUGGAUCAGAAUGCCACGGUGUAUACGUUCCCGGGUCUUGUACACACCG
rnacentral:rRNA from 1 species